rnacentral:rRNA from 1 species
GCCGUCUGCAUCUGGNCUCAGCGGGAACUUCUGCUAAUCCCGGAUAAGCCUACGGGUGAAAGAUUAAUUGCCUGGAGAUGAGCUCGCGUCUGAUUAGCUAGUUGGUAAGGUAAAAGCUUACCAAGGCGACGAUCAGUAGCUGGUCUGAGAGGAUGAGCAGCCACACUGGGACUGAGACACGGCCCAGACUCCUACGGGAGGCAGCAGUGGGGAAUUUUCCGCAAUGGGCGAAAGCCUGACGGAGCAAGACCGCGUGGGGGAGGAAGGCUCUAGGGUUGUAAACCCCUUUUCUUUGGGAAGAAGUACUGACGGUACCAAAGGAAUCAGCCUCGGCUAACUCCGUGCCAGCAGCCGCGGUAAUACGGAGGAGGCAAGCGUUAUCCGGAAUGAUUGGGCGUAAAGCGUCCGCAGGUGGCCAUGUAAGUCUGCUGUCAAAACCCAGGGCUUAACUCUGGUUAGGCAGUGGAAACUACAAAGCUAGAGUCUGGUAGGGGCCAAGGGAAUUCCCGGUGUAGCGGUGAAAUGCGUAGAGAUCGGGAAGAACAUCGGUGGCGAAAGCGCUUGGCUAGACCAGAACUGACACUCAGGGACGAAAGCUAGGGGAGCGAAUGGGAUUAGAUUCC